rnacentral:rRNA from 1 species
AGCAGCCGCGGUAAUUCCAGCUCCAAUAGCGUAUAUUAAAGUUGUUGUGGUUAAAAAGCUCGUAGUUGAACCUUGGGCCUGGCUGGCCGGUCCGCCUCACCGCGUGUACUGGUCCGGCCGGGUCUUUCCCUCUGUGGAACCCCAUGCCCUUCACUGGGUGUGGCGGGGAAACAGGACUUUUACUGUGAAAAAAUUAGAGUGCUCCAGGCAGGCCUAUGCUCGAAUACAUUAGCAUGGAAUAAUGAAAUAGGACGUGCGGUUCUAUUUUGUUGGUUUCUAGGACCGCCGUAAUGAUUAAUAGGGAUAGUCGGGGGCGUCAGUAUUCAGCUGUCAGAGGUGAAAUUCUUGGAUUUGCUGAAGACUAACUACUGCGAAAGCAUUCGCCAAGGAUGUUUUCAUUAAUCAAGAACGAAAGUUAGGGGAUCGAAGACGAUCAGAUACCGUCGUAGUCUUAACCAUAAACUAUGCCGACUAGGGAUCGGAUGAUGUUAAUUUUUUAAUGACUCG